rnacentral:rRNA from 1 species
UCGUAGUCCAUGCCGUAAACGAUGUGUGUUAGACGUUGGAAAUUUAUUUUCAGUGUCGCAGCGAAAGCGAUAAACACACCGCCUGGGGAGUACGACCGCAAGGUUAAAACUCAAAUGAAUUGACGGGGACCCGCACAAGUAGUGGAGCAUGUGGUUUAAUUCGAAGAUACGCGCAGAACCUUACCAACACUUGACAUGUUCGUCGCGACUCUAAGAGAUUAGAGUUUUCGGUUCGGCCGGACGAAACACAGGUGCUGCAUGGCUGUCGUCAGCUCGUGUCGUGAGAUGUUGGGUUAAGUCCCGCAACGAGCGCAACCCUCACUUUUAGUUGCCAUCAUUAAGUUGGGCACUCUGAAAGAACUGCCAGUGAUAAGCUGGAGGAAGGUGGGGAUGACGUCAAGUCCUCAUGGCCCUUACGUGUUGGGCUACACACGUGCUACAAUGGUAUCUACAACAGGAAGCAAGACUGCGAGGUCAAGCAAAUCCUUAAAAGAUACCUCAGUUCGGAUUGCACUCUGCAACUCGAGUGCAUGAAGCUGGAAUUACUAGUAAUCGUGGAUCAGCGUGCCACGGUGAAUGCGUUCCCGGGUCUU